CCUGGGAUGGUGCAGCUGUAGAGUUAGAUUAACCCACGAAUAAUGUACCAGCAUGGACCAUUCUUCCAGCUUUCCAGUAGGGAUGCAGCCAACAACUGUAACAUCACCUGUGUCACUGAUAAGGGUUUUUUUCUCCAAAGACUAAAGUGUCUGAACACAAAAUAAACACAUAAACCUCACAAGUUUCACUAAGCAAACAAGCAGUUCUCCUGUGGAAGAACAUCUGAUACCAAAAGCUUCCCUUCCUGCCAAUAAAAGAGUGAAGGCUGACACAGCUGCACUUGAAGCAGGUUGAAUAAAAACCGGACUCAGCCCCUUUAAGUCCGGCUGAUGACAAACGGGUGCUUUUUAUCUUUUGCUGUUGCUCUGGCUCAGUACAGCCAUUUAAUUAUUCAUAGGAAGGCUCUUUGGUAUUUUCACUGUAGAAGUCACAUCUGAGACUUAAAUCUUACUUCCACCAACUCCAGUGAUGAAGUUUCCAGACUAAUGAAAACGUCAGUGCUGUGACAUUCCCGGAACCCAUUCUUUUAGCUCUGCAAGGAAAGCUAGACUUGGGCUUUCCAUUGUUGGAGCAUAAAGUUCCUCACUCACCAAAGCUGCCAGCAGGAAAAUCCACCAGACACUUUAAGCUAGUGAUUACACUGAUGUAAAU